CUCACUGCUACCCAGAGACCUCUGCCCUCUCCUUAAGCCUUUGGUACCCAGGAGGAGGAAAUGUUUGAGCUUUCUACUGUGCUGUUUGCUUCUAUAGGUGCUGCUGACUUCUAGACCUCACCCUGGCAGUCCCUGCUGGUGCGGAUUUGAAGCCUGGGACACACAGUGGGGUGCUGUCUUUUCCGUGAACAUGCCUGCCCAGAAGUGCUCUUGCUCCUCGCUACAUCAUCCCAUGGUACAAGGAAGGCCACUGAGGCAUAGAAGGCACAGGUUUUCUGAUGGCAGCCUCCUGAAUGUGCUCCCGUAGAGAGAAUGCCAGCAUUAGCCGCUAGGAUCUUCUCUUCCUGUGUGUACACUGCCGGGUUCUCAGGAAGGCAGCUCACCAGAACCACAAGGGCCCUCUUCUCUGGAGCAGGGCCCAGGCCCAAUCAUUCUUGGAGUGGUCGGCUGUUCUGAGGGCCCCUAAUUCCAUCAUUGCUCUCAAAACAGCAAUCAUCAGAAAGGUAGCUGAAAGCUGUCUUGCCACCAAGCUGAGUUAGAAUUUGAAGGGAAGGAGCAGGGGACUUAGUGUCAUCCAGCCCCCAUCUUUAAAUCAAAACCCUUGCCAUGUCCAUUCCUACUGCCUAGAAACAAGGUCUGUCCUCACCAAGGUUCUUCCAUGCAAGACAGAUGUGGAGGUUUUGCAGGUGAUACUGUGAGGCUCAGUCAUUUGUUCAGAGGUCCCAGCUGGUAGGAGACCAUAGGAGACUAGGCGGUGGGGGAUUUGGGUUCUCUUCCAACUCCGCCCAAUGCCUGAGAUCACCUUGGUCAAAUCCUGCCUAUCCACCCUAUGCCUUCUUCCCACACAGUAUGAUGGUGUAAAGAUGGGUUUCACCAGAUCCCUAACAGCAUGUUUGCCCUAAAUGAGGAUCUGAUAAUAAAUUCCCCAUUUUGAGCUUCCUGGCUUGGCUGAAUAGUCAAAGUAUGAUUGAUAGCGGCAUCCCGUGGACACCAAGGGUAACUGCAUCAAUUUGGACGGAAGCCACAAGAUGACAUCCUGCUUCCCUCAUUAUGUGGAAAGGAGCUGAUUGCAAUUAAUCACACUCAUCGUCUUACACAGGGAGCUGUCUUCGAGCUGGAAAAGCCCCCAAAUCAGAAGGCAAGCCUUCCAGCUAUAUUCCCCUGCCGUCAACCUCUAGCUAUACAACCGUUUUGUUUAAAUUUGUCCCUUUUCAAAUACUGGCCUAAUAAAAGAGACUAGUGCAGUGAUGGCAAACCUUUUAGGGACCGAGUGCCCAAACUGCAACCCAAACCCAAGCCCCCAAUUAUUUAUCACUAAGUGGCAACCAUGCAGUUAAACCUGAAUGCUGAGGGUUUAGUUUAAAAAAAAAAAGCAACUUUUAUCUGACGCUUGUUUGCUGAGGCACCUUGGCCCACUGCAGCAUGUAUGCCACAGGUUUGCCACCACUGCUUAGUUUAACUGAAGGAGAGUAAUGUUGAUAAUGCUCGUAACAGAAAAAGUUGAAUGGGUUGUUAAGUCUUGCCAGGAGUGUCACAUGUAUUAUUUCAUUUCAUUUUCCCCCAAACUGAAGAGGACUGGGACUCUUAUCCCCAAUUUUCAAAUGAGGAAUCUAAGACAUUGUCCAUAAAGGGAGCUGAUUUCAAACCUGGACAAUAGGCAUCAGAUCCCAUUUUCCUCAAUUACCCCUUUAUGCCAUCUCACUGCUUUCAGUGUCUACCUACUGCACCCCAAGCCAUUGGUGAGCCCAACAAACUGAAGAAAACCCCACUUCCUAAGGCACUGGCUUGAAUUCCACAUGUCUGAGUCACUCUCUUUGGCAGUGAGUGGACUCAUGGGAGGGGCCUUAGAGUGAGCCAGCACUAGCUCUCAUGUGACCUGAGGCUCAUUCCUGAACUUUACUUGCAUGGGCUACCAAGAGUGAGUCAUGAGCUCUUCUCUUGAGAUGAUGUUGCAAAGAUCACUUAAAUCACUUGCUGCUGGGUAGAAGCUCAAAAAAUCAUUUUUAUGCUUAUCUAUGAGCUGUGUGAUUUGACCUUGGAAAGGGCCAACUUGGUAGGCAGUGGAUUCUGAUCCAAUCUCUUUAGAAAGCACCGCUUAGAAAGUCAAGGAUUUGGACAGCAGUGAGGACCAGCCUUUUCACCUGAGGCUUGUGAGUUUCCAAGGAAACCACUGAUGAAUCCUGUUUCAAAGAAUCUCCAAAAUCAAGACGCCAAAGCAAAGACAAGAUCUCAGUACUCUGAGUUUUUCAAAAACACUAUUAACUAAAGAACAGUGUCCCUUCAGGUUUCAAGACCAUAUGGCCAACAGUCUGCAGAGACUCAAGACAGCACGAGCCCACUUCAGGAAGCACAAGUUCAAGACCAGAGCUGGUAUGUCUGAAUCCUAGUUCCAGCUCUGCCUCCCAUUGUUCAGUAUCUUUUUUUUUUUUUUUCUUAUCAGUACCGGGAAUCGAACUCAUGACUGCCUGCUUGCAAGGCAGGUGCUUAUGCUACGGAGCUAAACCUCCAGCCCCUGCCUCCCAUUGUUCAUGCACAACUGUGAAGUUGGUUCUCUUCUUGGAGGUCACACAGCUGAAGCAUCUGACAUGUGGAAGAUAUGGCCAUUGGUGAAUGAAUAAGGUCAACAUCUCACUACAAUGGCUGGAAGCCCAUUGCUGGAAACGUCCCCACAGAGAAUAAUACUGGGCCCCUAAGCAUUCCAAAUAUUGCUGUUGGUCAGGACCUGGAGGUGGCUCACCUGGGUGUUCUACCUCAUAUCUUUCAUGCUGACCUCAAGCAGUUAUGAUGUCAGUUGGAGUUACAGUCACUGGAGAGUUUGGCUGGGACUGGAGGAUCUGCUUCCAAAGUGACUGAUGCAUGUGCCUUGGGAGCUGGUACCGACUGGAGGUCCUAGUCCCUUCCCCUGGGGACCUCUCCAUAGGUCUGCUUGAGUGGCCUCAUGACAUGGCAGCUGGCAUCUUCCAGAAUGAGUGAGUUGAAAGAGAGCAAGGAGGAAACCAUAAUGUCUCUUAUGAUGAUAUUGUAUUCCUAAGGCUGCAGGACUAAGGAUCACAAAAAAGGUGACCUAAAAAACAGUAGGAAUUUACUCUUAGUUCUCAAGGCAGGUUUGAAAUCAAGUUGUUUGCAAAGCUCUAGAGAAGAACCUUCCUCGCCUCUCUUAGCUUCUGGUGGCCUUGACGUUCCUUGACUUGUGGCUGCACAACUCCUUCCUCUGCCUCCCUUCGCAUGUAAGCUAUGCCUAUCUGCUCUGUGUCUCUCUGUCCUUAUAAGGACUCUUGUCAUUUGCUGUGGGGCCCACUCUAGUGAAAUAUGACCCUGAGUUUAUCUGCAAAGACUACUUCUAAAUAAAGUCACAUUCCCAGAGCUUUUUAGUAUGUCUCUUUGAGGACACUAUUCGUGAUCCACCAGGAUGAUCUAGCCUGAGAAAUUGCAUGUCAUUUCUGCAAGAAGUACCUACAGGGACACAUGGCUGUGCAUCCCAGCAGGGGGUAAUUAUUGGGGUCAUUGUGCAAGCAGGCUAGCAUAACACAUGUCACAGUGAGUGUGAGACAGGCACCACACAGUACCCAUAGAGGAAACAAUGGAGGACUAGCAGCGUUAGGACCCUCAGCCUGUCCAGAGUACAAAAGGAUUCCAAGGUGGAGAAAAGGGAAGGUUUGGAAUCAGAAAUCUAUGCUGGAGCACCAACCCUAAUAGUGCUGGGGUCCUACCACCUUCACCCAGUGAUGGUGGCUUCCACGGAGAUGUUGUGAGCUGUGGUGC